GUAGCCCAGGAAUUGUUCCAUGGUGGUGAAUAAGGCAAUUGUGUCUCUAUCUUUAUGAUGUUCUUACAAGAUUUGUCAACAGAAAAUGAAAGAUCAUGUCAGAAUAUGAUGUGUAUUGUAGGGACAAUAAAAUGUGUAAGGUGACAGAGAGCGGCAAGAAAGGAGGGGAAGAGAAGAAGGAAAUUGCAGACAGAGGAGCAGAGAAAGAGCUAGACUUGGGGACCAACAUUCUAGGGGAGCAGGCCAUGACAGCAGAACGGGAGUGACCUGGCCACAGGUCAGAGAGGAAGACACCUACUUGCAUGGUGGCAAGGGAUGACCCAAGGGGUUAAGCAGGAGCCUGCUCUGAGGAGGACAGUAUGGAUGGCAUGCUGGCCCCAGCUGUCCGUGACCCUCACGUGGCACCUCUGGUCUCCUCUGGGUUUUGACGUCGGUGCUAAGUAUGUUUUGUUCUGUAUUCCUGUGUCCAGUGAUAACAGAAGUUGUGAAUUAUGGCCACAGCAGCAAAUGUUUUUAAUCUUCCAUGAAACAAAUGCAGUGUGUUUUCUGCCUGGGGGCUGCGGCGGCAAGGCCGAGGCCAGAGCUGCAGCUGCCACGAUACUGCGACCUCAGCUGACGUCAAUGCAAGUCAUUCCAGGCCGAGGGCUCCACUCAGGAAGCUUGCAAGUGAUACUGAAAACAAAUUUGCAUUGUUUCCUUUCACCGGAACUCAGCUCCUCUUCAUUCCACUGAGAUGUUUUCACCAGUCUCUGUAUAAGCAGCAUGUUGAAUAAACCCAGCUUGUGAGAUGCA